rnacentral:rRNA from 1 species
AGAUUGAACGCUGGCGGCAUGCUUUACACAUGCAAGUCGAACGGUAACAGGCCGCAAGGUGCUGACGAGUGGCGAACGGGUGAGUAAUGCAUCGGAACGUGCCCAGUCGUGGGGGAUAACGCAGCGAAAGCUGUGCUAAUACCGCAUACGAUCUAUGGAUGAAAGCGGGGGACCGAAAGGCCUCGCGCGAUUGGAGCGGCCGAUGUCAGAUUAGCUAGUUGGUGGGUAAAGGCCACCAAGGCGACGAUCUGUAGCUGGUCUGAGAGGACGACCAGCCACACUGGAACUGAGACACGGUCCAGACUCCUACGGGAGGCAGCAGUGGGGAAUUUUGGACAAUGGGCGCAAGCCUGAUCCAGCAAUGCCGCGUGCAGGAAGAAGGCCUUCGGUUGUAAACUGCUUUUGUACGGAACGAAACGGUCGUGGUUAAUACCUACGGCUAAUGACGUACCGUAAGAAUAAGACACCGGCUAACUACGU